rnacentral:sRNA from 1 species
UCUGAUGAGUAGCCACUGGUCCCAUGA